UCCAUCUACGACAAUCAAUCCAAAGACCAAGUCGCCGCCGAAGUGCAUAGCAAUAUAGCAUGUUCAUCAAACCACCGAUGAAGACCCUUCUGUUGUACAGCAGCUAUUUUUUUCCCAUCUUCCAUGUGUAACGCCUUCUCGCGACUCAUAUUCUUAUUUCUAUAACGCUGCGUAACAGUCGUCGACACGUCUCUCCCAGCUUCCAAGGGACUAAGUUACUAAACGAUUCAGUACGCUUAGUGAUACUUUCUGUGACCAAGAAGCUGAGGAAGGAGCAUGCUGUAGCAAAGCGUCUACAAAGAAUCCAAACAAACCAAAAAGUCCAGCCAGCCAGUGCCUUCUUCAUUUUCAUUGAAAAUUUCCGUGAGACUUUCAAGAAGGAGCUUCCCAAAAACAAAUCUGUUGCUACUUUGGAAAAGCUGUUGCAGACAAGAAAAUUCUUGACAGAUGGUGUACAUACUUACUCAGAAUUGUGUUAUUAACUGAUAAACCAAUUGUCAAUCGAGUGUUUGUUUAUAGAUCGAUUGUUAUGUUGGUUGUUGACCAAGAUGAAGGUCCAAGAGAAGAUGAGGAAUCUGACACCCACAGGUUUUGAGGAUGGCACUGUUGGCAUUUGGCACGCCACGACAUACGAGAGUUUUAUCUAAAACCUUUCUUCUGUCAAUAAACAUAGCAAUGAUGUUUUUUUGGCUAGAGAACACACUGAAUUAUGCUCAUGAGAGACUUCGGGCCAUUGGUUACAUAAAAAGUUAGCGCCAGUGAGUUUAUGAAUUUCUGCUGCCUCAUUUUACGUUUCUGAUUUCUGUUUGUCAAUGUUUGUUAGAUUUGUUUUCCAUGAGUAGAUGUUCUAUCUUGGUAGAAUCUUUAUUUCCGAUUUGUUCUUGGUUUUCUUCUUAAAUUGACGAUUUGGAGAGCUAGUGGUGCUUGGAAUUGCUAAGAGCUGUUGAGGGAUCAGUGUUAUACAAGACCAUCAAAAACAAAUGUGUUUUCAUUUUAUAGGGUUGACGUCGUGAUGCAUGGUAUUUUCUGUGUUUAUUAAUUCUGAUAAUAAUUGUAAUUAGACCCCUAACCCUGAUAUAAUAGCUGCGUCUAAUGAU